rnacentral:rRNA from 1 species
GAUGAACGCUAGCUACAGGCUUAACACAUGCAAGUCGCGGGGCAGCAUGGGGGUUGCUUGCAAUCCCCGAUGGCGACCGGCGCGCGGGUGAGUAACGCGUAUCCAACCUGCCCUUCACCACGGGAUAACCCGGCGAAAGUCGGACUAAUACCGUAUGUUGUCCAUUGACGGCAUCCGAUUUGGACGAAAGGUUUGGCGGUGAAGGAUGGGGAUGCGUCCGAUUAGCUGGACGGCGGGGUGCCGGCCCACCGUGGCGACGAUCGGUAGGGGUUCUGAGAGGAAGGUCCCCCACACUGGAACUGAGACACGGUCCAGACUCCUACGGGAGGCAGCAGUGAGGAAUAUUGGUCAAUGGGCGUAAGCCUGAACCAGCCAAGUAGCGUGCAGGAUGACGGCCCUAUGGGUUGUAAACUGCUUUUAUGCGGGGAUAAAGUGGCCCACGUGUGGGUUUUUGCAGGUACCGCAUGAAUAAGGACCGGCUAAUUCCGUG